rnacentral:lncRNA from 1 species
UUUCCAUGCUACUAUUUCUCCCCCUUCACAUCAAUCUUCACAAGGAGACAUACUCAUUCUCCCUCCGCUCCCCACACAAGCAGACUAGUAAUAUAGAACGCUUGAUCCUUCUUCCUCCACCUCUGUGCUCUUUACUGCCCAGUUCACCCCAAAUCUUUAAAACAAAACAAAACAAAACAAAACAAAAAAAAAACAUUUUGAGGGAGCAGGUGGGAGAACCAGAGGUCUGGAGAGAUGGCAAUAUGGUUCGAAACGCAUACUGCACUUGAAGAGCAACCAAGUUUUGUUUCCAGAACCCAUGUGAGGAGGCUCACAACCGUCUGUAACUUCAGGAGAUCCAAUGCUUUCUACUAGACUAUUUGGGUGCCAGCACUCAAGAGACAGAGGCAGACAGAUCUCUGUGAGUUCAAGGAGCGCCUAAAACAAAAUCCUGCAUGAAGGGAUCCAGAAAAAUAGAUCUGAGCUCAGCUGGAGAGAUGGUUCAUCAACACUGGAGCAUUUAGACCCAAAUUCCAACCCCCAGAAUUCAUAAAAGUGUUGGGUGGGCAUGGAAAUCUACUUGUAAUCCCAGCACACGGGGGACAAGGAUCCCUGGAAUAAACCAGCUAGUGAGACUAUAAUAACUGUGAGUUCCAGGUUCAACUGAGAUACCCUGCAUCAGUGAAUAAGGAGGAAAACUGUUCCUAGAUUCUUCAGGCUUGUGUGACAAUAACCUUUUCCCACGGAAUCAUCUCAUUGUCCUCUCUGCUUUGUUAACAUAGAGUUUCAUGCCCAGAAUAUCUUGAAUUUUACCAUGUAGGGAAAGAUGAAUUUGAACUCAU